CUUGAAGGAAGCAAAAGUAUCUUACACUGCUGUCAUCAUCAAGUGUGAGAACAGAGCCUGAUACCAGCCUGAUAUCACUGAAGCUGUGUCAGAGACUAUCCAAGGAGGGCAGAAGCAUUCCAGGAUCCUACGACUUACAAGUAACCCUUCUUGUAAGGUCAAUGAGGAGGUAAAAUGUCUGGAGUUAAAAAGCUCAGGAUAAGAAGCAUGAGAAGAG
rnacentral:lncRNA from 12 species